rnacentral:rRNA from 1 species
UACGUAGGUGGCAAGCGUUGUCCGGAAUUAUUGGGCGUAAAGCGCGCGCAGGCGGUCUUUUAAGUCUGAUGUGAAAGCCCACGGCUCAACCGUGGAGGGUCAUUGGAAACUGGGGGACUUGAGUGCAGAAGAGGAAAGUGGAAUUCCACGUGUAGCGGUGAAAUGCGUAGAGAUGUGGAGGAACACCAGUGGCGAAGGCGACUUUCUGGUCUGUAACUGACGCUGAGGCGCGAAAGCGUGGGGAGCAAACAGG